rnacentral:miRNA from 1 species
CUGCCAUGUGUGUGUGUGUGUGUGUGUGUGUGUGCGUGCGAGCGCGCACGUGCAUGCACACACGCACACACAC